ensembl:lncRNA
CCACAAUUUUGGAAGUAUGCUUGGGGCCAUUGUCCAUUUGGAAGACCCAUUUGCGACCAAGCUUUAACUUCCUGACUGAUGUCUUGAGAUGAUCGCUUCAAUAUAUCCACAUAAUUUUCCUGCCUCAUGAGCCAUCUAUUUUGUGAAGUGCACCAGUCCCUCCUGCAGCAAAGCACCCCCACAACAUGAUGCUGCCACCCUCGUGCUUCACGGUUGGGAAGGUGUUCUUCGCCUUGCAAGCCUCCCCCUUUCCCCUCCAAACAUAACAAUGGCCAUUAUGGCCAAACAGUUCUAUAUUUGUUUCAUCAGACCAGAGGACAUGUCUCCAAAAAGUACGAUCUUUGUCCCCAUGUGCAGUUGCAAACCGUAGUCUGGCUUUAUUAUGGCGGUUUUGGAGCAGUGGCUUCUUCCUUGCUGAGCGGCCUUUCAGGUUGUGUCGAUAUAGGACUCGUUUUACUGUGGAUAUAGGUACUUUUGUACCUGUUUCCUCCAGCAUCUUCACAAGGUCCUUUGCUGUUGUUCUGGGACUGAUUUGCACUUUUCGCACCAAAGUACGUUCAUCUCUAGGAGACAGAACGCAUCUCCAUGGUGUUUAUACCUGCGUACUAUUGUUUGUACAGAUAAACGUGGUACAUUCUGCCGUUUGGAAAUUGCUCCCAAGGAUGAACCAGACUUGUGGAGGUCUACAGUUUUUUUCUGAGGUCUCGGCUGAUUUCUUUUGAUUUUCCCAUGAUAUCAAGCAAAGAGGCACUGAGUUUGUAGGCCUUGAAAUACAUCCACAGGUUCACCUCCAAUUGACUCAAAUAAUGUCAAUUAGCCUAUCAGAAGCUUCUAAAGCCAUGACAUAAUUUUCUGGAAUUUUCCAAGCUGUUUAAGGCACAGUCAACACUGUACCACUGGAAUUGUGAUACAGUGAAUUAUAAGUGAAAUAAUCUGUCUGUAAACAAUUGUUGGAAAAAUUACUUGUGUCAUGCACAAAGUAGAUGUCCUAACCGACUUGCCAAAACUAUAGUUUGUAAACAAGAAAUUUGUGGAGUGGUUGAAAACGAGUUUUAACUUGACUCCAACCUAAGUGUAUGUAAACUUCCGACUUCAACUGUAUGUGCCAAAUGUCCCCUCCCCUUUUGAAAUUGAAAAGAUACGAGCACCUGCGAUAUCGUCCAAAUGAUCAGUGACGAAACAUCCGCAUCACGGAACAAAGUUCCUCGUUAGUUUUCGGAUCCCACAGCCUGUUGACAGAUGAUAUCAGUGAUAUUACAUGUUUCUGUCCACGAGAGAUUAGAAAUAUCAUUGUUCCCAGUUUGAGAUCUAUGACGAUGGUUUACCCUGUCCUAAUCUGAACUGGGGAGAGGGACUGGGGACCUGUGAUGUCAUCUUUGUCCCAAAUGGCACCCUAUUCCCUAUGUAGUACACUACUUUUGACCAAAGCCCUCUCUGGUCAAAAGUAGGGAGCUAUAUAUAGAAUAGUGUGCCAUUUUGCGACAUACCCAGAGUCUCUUGUUAUCUUGUCUCUUCCUAGUGACUUGGUUCACAUAGGUGGUACAGAUGUACAAGCCAUCUGACACUUCAGUUGUGACACAAACAAUACUUUUUUACCAUUUUUAUGUUGAGUUUGUAUGCAUUUUUUUGUCUCCACAAAAAAAGUGCAGCUAAAAAAUUGUGAUCUUUGUAUCAAGACUGUGUGUUAAAUGUAUUUUACCACCUGGGUGAACCUGGCCUAUAAGGUCAAUGUAUCAUUUUUAAUUGGUCCACCUAUCCAUUGUUCUUGGCAGUAACCUCCAGUAUAGUGAUUGACAUUGUAUUCUAUAGCUAUCUCUGUCACUAUCUCCUCUUAUUGACCCGUAUGGUCAAAUGGAACACAAGCAAAUCUAUUUGCACACGUCUUCAUGAAGACACCAUUUAAUUAAGUUCAGAAAUCGUACAUGUACAAAAACAUCAGUUAAGCCGGCCAGAGCUAACUGCUGCCGGUGGGGUGGUUUGCUUUGCUGUUUUACAUGAGAGCAUGUGGACUUGAUUGUGUGCAUGAGGGUAGUGUUUUGGGAUCUUGGAGCCUUAGGUGGGCCAAGGAGAAGAAGAAGCAUCAGUAGAGUUUACAGUCUCUGGAGGACCAAGGAGAAGAAGGAGCAUCAACAGAGUUUAAAGUCUCUGGGGAACCAAGGAGAAGAAGGAGCAUCAACAGAGUUUACAGUCUCUGGGGAACCAAGGAGAAGAAGGAGCAUCAACAGAGUUUACAGUCUCUGGGGAACCAAGGAGAAGAAGGAGCACCAACAGAGUUUACAGUCUCUGGGGAACCAAGGAGAAGAAGGAGCAUCAAUAGAGUUGACAGUCUCUGGAGGACCAAGGAGAAGAAGAAGCAUCAACAGAGUUUACAGUCUCUGGAGGACCAAGGAGAAGAAGGAGCAUCAACAGAGUUUACAGUCUCUGGGGAACCAAGGAGAAGAAGAAGCAUCAACAGAGUUUACAGUCUCUGGAGGACCAAGGAGAAGAACACGACCCGACCAGGACCUCCAUAAUGUGGUCCAGUUCUGUCAGGUCCAUGUUGAAAGGUUGGCUGGGCAUGACUGAGGGGCGGCAGGGGUCGUGCAGGGGUCAAAGUCAUACAUGGAGGUGUCGAUGUCUGCAAACAGGAUCUCAUCCAAUGCCAGGUCAGUGAAGAAACCUGAGGAGGAAGAGGAGGAGAAGGAAGGGGAGGAGUUUAAAUCCAAGCCACUAGGAGGAGAAAGAGGAAGGGGAGGAGGAAGAGUGUCUAUCAGUCUGGACUCUAUACUCCUGCUGUCAAGUAAGGACACCGGCCCGUCUAGUGUGGGGCUGCCUGUCCUGAUGCAGUCUUUGAAUUGGCCUUUGGCUGUGGUUGUUAUUGUGGCUGUUACUGUGGCUGUGGUUGUUACUGUUGUGGAGAGGAGGGGGGCUCGGGGGCAGUUGGCAUGGGGUCUGAAGGGGUUCUGCUGAGGCUGUGGGGAAGGUAGUAGUCUUAAUAGUAUUAGCUGCUGUUGUUGUUCUGGUUAUUAUUGUCUGUGGUGUGGCUGAGAGAGGACAGUGCUGCUCUAUGUCACCCAGGGUAGGGCACAAAGUGUCUCUGCAGCAGGCAGACACAGGUACCCUGGAGAGGGUAGAGGUUUUCUGUGGUGGGCGAGGGGCAUAGGGGGAGGACGAAGAGGAGGAAGAGACUUAGGCGGGGGCAAAGUGCAAAAGGAGGCGUCGUCUCCGUCUUCCUCCAAUAGCAAGGUGGGCGUGAUGCAGACCUCCAGAGAGACAGGCCACCGGAUGACAACCACACCAAUGACGGACAGGUGGGCGGAGGGGGGAGUGGCGAGGGCAGAGGGGCUGACUCCAAGAGCCACCCUGAAGGCUGCUGGGAAAGGGACGGGGUGGCGGUAGCACGCCGCCGAAUGUGGGCGGGGGCCUCACAGAAGUCCUCGUCCAUGGGAUCAUCUGCGAGGGGGCAGGAGGAGAGCUGGACGGCGCAGCGAGCCCUCCUGUUUUAGCUCUUCCUAGAUGCAGGACAGCAUGUUGUUGAUGAGAACACGUCUCUCCAGGCUCGCUCAGAAGCCAGUGGUUAUAAAGCUUCAUUAGAGAGAUGUUGAAGAUGCUCUGUCUCUGGAGGUUGUACGACACCUUGGAGGGAAUAGAGACGUAACAAGUUACUACCAAGGUCUGGUGGAUAUUUAAAACUGUAUUAUGGGACAUAUUCACACUGAGAUAAGUUGACUUAAUGUGAAUUUGAGUAAAACAUAAUUGACUGAAGUCCAUGUUUAAAUGAUUAAAUUCCAUCUCAGGUCUGAACCCUAAAUGAAUAAGAACUUCAGUAUAUUAUAAAUAUAAUGUAUUUUAUUGUGUAUGUGAGGAGAAAAAUAAUACUUACGACAAUUAGGAUAAAGGCAUACUGUAUAAAUGGUUCAAGAAAAGAAAUGAACAAGAUCUUUAAAUAUUGUAGGCCAUCUUGGAGAAACCUAGGCUGAGGCCGUAGGGGUCGGGAGUCGUUGUAGUGGUCAUGGGCCUCUGUGGCGCCAUCGCUUUGUCUUCCAACACAUCUUCAUCCUCGUCCAGUUUCCGCUUUAAAAAGUUCCCUUUUACCAAACAUAUAUCUGCAACAACAACAACACACAAGUAUUACUAAAAGUCUAAUAUGAUGGUGAUGAUGAUGAUGACAAUGGCGCCGACAGAGAGGAUCGCCUCGCUUCUAGUUCUUAGGAAACUUUGCAGUAUUUAGUUUUUUUAUGUAUUAUUUCUUACAUUGUUAACCCAGAAAAUAUUAUGUGUUAUUACAUAAAGCUGGGAAGAACUAUUGGAUAUCAGAGCGGCGGUAACUCACUAUCACUACCAGCAUUACGACCAGAAAUACGACUUUGUUCACCACCACCCAGGGCAAUUGAACUGAUUCCAGAGGCUGACCCAAAACAAUGCCGGCGGAGAAGAGGAAGUCAGAGCGGUCUUCUAGUCAGACUUAGGAGGCACGCACACCACCCACCACUUCCGACUAUAUUACUUGCUAAUGUUCAGUCCCUGGAUAACAAGGUUGGCGAGAUCAGGGCAAGGGUUUCUUACCAGAGAGACAUCAUGGAUUGUAACAUACUCUGUUUCACAGAAACAUGGCUCUCUCGGGAUAUACUGUCGGAGUCGGUCAGCAACCACCUGCAACCACAGGGCUCUCCAGAGGGUGGUGUGGUCUGCACAACGCAGCACCAGGGGCAAACUACAGUCCCUCUAGGACACCUACAGCACCCGAUGUCUCAGGAAGGCCAAAAAGAUCAGCAAGGACAACAACCACCCGAGCCACUGCUUGUUCACCCCGCUACCAUGCAGAAGGCGAGGUCAGCACAGGUGCAUCAAAUCAGGGAUCGAGGGACUGAAAAACAGCUUCUAUCUCAAGGCCAUCAGACUGAUAAAUAGCCAUCACUAGCACAGAGGCUGCUGCCUACAUACACAGACUUGAAUUCAUUGACCACUUGAAUAAAUGGAUCACUAGUCACUUUUAUAAUGUCACUUUAAUAAUGUU